AGACUCAAACUUUAUAACAAAGUACCUCCAAAUGGUCUGGUUGUUUACUGUGGAACAAUUGUAACAGAAGAAGGAAAGGAAAAGAAAGUUAACAUUGACUUUGAACCUUUCAAAUCAAUUAACACAUCAUUGUAUUUGUGCGACAACAAGUUUCAUACAGAGGCUCUUACAGCGUUACUUUCAGAUGACAGCAAGUUUGGUUUUAUUGUAAUAGAUGGCAGUGGUGCUCUUUUUGGCACGCUCCAAGGAAACACCAGAGAAAUCCUGCACAAAUUCACUGUGGAUCUCCCAAAGAAACACAGCAGAGGAGGUCAAUCAGCCUUGCGUUUUGCCCGUUUAAGAAUGGAAAAGCGACAUAACUAUGUUCGGAAAGU
rnacentral:lncRNA from 1 species